CUGGGAAACUCAUGAUAGUAAAUCCUGUAAAAGACAUGACAGGACAGGUGAAUUAAAAGUCAAAAUCUUUCGAAUACUGUUGCCAAAAUCCAACACAAUACAUUAGGAAUCUUGACUCUGAGGUUUGUUUUUUUAAUUUUACUUUAAGUUUGGGAUACAUGUGCAGAAUGUGCAGGUGAG